GAUGAACGCUGGCGGCGUGCCUAAUACAUGCAAGUCGAGCGAACGGACGAGAAGCUUGCUUCUCUGAUGUUAGCGGCGGACGGGUGAGUAACACGUGGAUAACCUACCUAUAAGACUGGGAUAACUUCGGGAAACCGGAGCUAAUACCGGAUGAUAUUUUGAACCGCAUGGUUCAAAAGUGAAAGACGGUCUUGCUGCCACUUAUAGAUGGAUCCGCGCUGCAUUAGCUAGUUGGUAAGGUAACGGCUUACCAAGGCAACGAUGCAUAGCCGACCUGAGAGGGUGAUCGGCCACACUGGAACGGAGACACGGUCCAGACUCCUACGGGAGGCAGCAGUAGGGAAUCUUCCGCAAAGGGCGAAAGCCUGACGGAGCAACGCCGCGUGAGUGAUGAAGGUCUUCGGAUCGUAAAACUCUGUUAUUAGGGAAGAACAUAUGUGUAAGUAACUGUGCACAUCUUGACGGUACCUAAUCAGAAAGCCACGGCUAACUACGUG
rnacentral:rRNA from 1 species